GCACGACGUCGACCAGAAGGGCGAGGACGAGCACGGCGCAGAGAGUUUGGCCGAGAGCGACGAUAGCGUUCCGGAGGCAGACCAAACCGUGAUUCCAGACGAGGAACUGGAGCUCGACGACGGUGUUGCCGGCGGCGCACCACCAGCAGGAGAGCAGCCUGCCGGCGUGGCGAACGUACGUACACCAACCGCGCCCGUAGCGCAGCCCAGCGAGCUU
rnacentral:SRP_RNA from 1 species